rnacentral:rRNA from 1 species
UACAGAGGGUGCAAGCGUUGCUCGGAAUUACUGGGCGUAAAGCGCGUGUAGGUGGCGAUGUAAGUCGGGUGUGAAAUCCCUCAGCUUAACUGAGGAAGUGCACUCGAUACUGUGUCGCUUGAGUGUUGGAGGGGAUGGCGGAAUUCCCGGUGUAGAGGUGAAAUUCGUAGAUAUCGGGAGGAACACCUGUGGCGAAGGCGGCCAUCUGGACAACUACUGACACUGAGACGCGAAAGCGUGGGUAGCAAACAGG